GGUCGCGUACACGUACGUACUUCACACCGUCUGCUAUUCCAUGGACUUCGAUUUGGCGGCGGAGCUUCGAGAACCGGAAACCGCAUUCGACGAGUGCCCCGAGCCUUGGAAGUAUAGGCUGGAGAUGACAGUGAAUGCGGGUCGCGACCCUAUGGGCAACCAGGUGAUCAUGGCCACUGUGCACGACUCCGGCAGCUUCUCUGGGGGCCUGCCACGCACCAUCAUGAUGACGGCCACACACAGAUACGUCAUCUCCGCCAAGCAGACUGACGUGUUCACGCUGCCUCCACCCUACGAAACGGCGUGCAUCGACUACCACCGCUUGAAUGACACCAAGACAAGAACUGGAUUCUCGAAGACCCAGGACAAGGAGUGCGAGGACACCUGCAUCCAGCACGUGUGGGAGAAGCUGUGCGGCUGCGUCAGCGCCAACUACAUGCUGCGCCACACCAUCGACGCACCCGUCUGCUCCACCGUGGAACGAUUCACGUGCUGGUCGGACGUGUCGCGGAAGGAGAAGCUGAGGGAGUGCCGCAUCAGAUGCCGGAGGCCCUGCGGGACGUCGGUGUACGCUGCUAGCAUCUUUGGCAGCGACUACAAGGACGCACAACCGCACGAAAUCUACGUUGUCCUUCUGCUUGGAUCCUACCAAAGGAAAAUAAUCGAAUCGAGGCCUAUGCUGACGAGUGAAGGAGACGGCCUGCAGCGACGUCUGACGUCUGGACUCGAGCCGACGCACCUAAUCGCAGCUCCUAUGCCAUCUGACAUCACUGGAUGGCUCCGGAGGGACGGCGGCCGCGCGCUCUGCACAAGGACGUGACGCGCACUGUAUGGUACGCAGCGACGCUAUACCGUUUUUCUCUUGCACCAACAGAAGACAAAAUCGAGAGAAAUGGUGCCAAUUUACCGUGGCGUGUAUGCUACAGGAAGACGGAGUGUAGAAAAAUACAUGUCCGAAAGAGGAAUAAUACAAACGUCAUCGAUCGUAUUUAACGUUUUUCGCUCGAUCCUGUACAACAGCUAUCAACUUAAGGGCAAUUCAUUUCCUGGCCUAAAGUCCGCGUACUUUGUUCAAUAUGCAAUGAACGCAGAAACGCCGUCACCUGUAAACUUCUCCAAAAAUGUGGUUAACUUCCGCUCAUCACGUGGUUGCAUCGAGAGAAACGUCUGAAACUGUGACAACGAAUAACAGAAAUAACUCUAGCAUCCACAGUACAAAGCAGCAUACCGUUGUGUUAAAUCCUAUGGCUUGCUUAUCCGCCAUCGAUCGAAUGCGCAAUACACAAUCAGCGGCAGUGCUGCGCGAGGGCAGUGAGCGUUUCUUGCUUUGAUAAUGCGGCUCUUCGGUGAGGAUUACAGAAAGGCACCGGCUUCACUUUUACGAGUCAAAACCGCCUGCAGAAUACCUCGACCACAACGCCAGAUGAGAGGCACUGUUCUAACCCCGUCAUCUGAUGCGCGCACAAGCCUCCCCAGCCCCUUUGCGAGCCGCAGAUCAGGUUUGGCCGCUGCCGUACGUAGUUUUUAUGCUUCUUGCGUGAAACCGAACGUGCCAUCAGAAAUGCGGCCUAAAACACGCCAGAAAUUCGCAUGAGUAUACGACGAGCGCGUCCCUCUCAGGCCACGACGACCACCCGCGAGAGAGGCGGCAACCGCGGUGCCACCACGGCAUACGACGGCAUUUUCUCUGCAGCAUGCUUGCCGUGCGCUCUGCUCCCGGAGCACACACUUCGAUGCUGUUGCUCCGGAUAUGGCAACAACGCCGAUUAUAGAUAGGAAUGGCACGCGCGCCAGCUUUGAUCGAGGAUUUCGACCGACAAAAGAUAACGCCGUAAAAUACAGACAAACCUCGCAAAGCGUUGUGACGCUAUCACACACCAGGUACUAACACCUUUGAAGCAAUCGCUGGGCAAAUAAUCAAGCGAGAUGCGAUCGUUUCGUUGUAAGCGUUCGAAAGACUCCGCUCACAGUCGAGCUCUUAAUAUAGCCCACUCUGAUUAUUCUUGUUCUGUAGCCAGUUUUGCUGUUCUUUUAGUACGCCGAAGGGAGCUGCGCGCUCGUGCCACACGUAGCUUGGCGACAGAAAAGGCAGGCACCGUGGCAUCCGCUGCAGCCGGUGCGGUCCGGAUUGAACCGGUCGAGUGCCCCGCACCUAUACUUUCCGUGCUCAGCACUGCUGGGCUCCCCUGGGGCCACUUUUCGCUCGUUUUCGGAGCCGCUGUCCUUCGUUAGAUUCUCGGCCGGUAGCAUUGUGGCUGCUUCCACACAAGGAGGCGCGCCCGGAGGUGUUCUAGUUUUGGAGCAACUGGGCUAUUGGGUGACCAUGUCGCCACCGAAACUGGCGACACCCUCUUCUCGUACCUGGAGGGCCACAUCGGCAUGUGGCUCGGCCUGACGCUCUCCUCGGGGGCCGGGCUGGCGGCCGGACUGUACCGGACGGCGGCCCGCCUGC